rnacentral:rRNA from 1 species
UUGAACGCUGGCGGCAGGCCUCACACAUGCCAGUCGAGCGGAUGAAGGGAGCUUGCUCCUGGAUUCAGCGGCGGACGGGUGAGUAAUGCCUAGGAAUCUGCCUGGUAGUGGGGGAUAACGUCCGGAAACGGGCGCUAAUACCGCAUACGUCCUGAGGGAGAAAGUGGGGGAUCUUCGGACCUCACGCUAUCAGAUGAGCCUAGGACGGAUUAGCUAGUUGGUGGGGUAAAGGCCUACCAAGGCGACGAUCCGUAACUGGUCUGAGAGGAUGAUCAGUCACACUGGAACUGAGACACGGUCCAGACUCCUACGGGAGGCAGCAGUGGGGAAUAUUGGACAAUGGGCGAAAGCCUGAUCCAGCCAUGCCGCGUGUGUGAAGAAGGUCUUCGGAUUGUAAAGCACUUUAAGUUGGGAGGAAGGGCAGUAAGUUAAUACCUUGCUGUUUUGACGUUACCAACAGAAUAAGCACCGGCUAACUUCGUG